rfam:Ictidomys tridecemlineatus contig035163, whole genome shotgun sequence.
GGGGGUGAGGCUCAGCAGUAGAGCGCUCACCUUGCACGUGCGAGACCCUGCGUUCGAUCCUCAGCACCACAU